UUUCGUGAUUCUGCAACUGGAGCAUAGAUGACCCAAAAAGGAUCUAACGUUCACACUUUGAAUAAUUUUCACCUAAAACCUAAUUAAUCAAUUAAAAGUAUGGUUAUUAAGAUUAUCCUCACAUGUGAGCUAUGGAUUUCUUUUCCAUCUCCAUCUUCAGUACAAUAAUUUGAAAAAAAUCUUAAGACCCGUUGUCAUCUUCUGACUAAAAAAUCUUGGUGCUUUCCUCUGUUCUGGUUCCAAAAUCCAUGAAACAACUCAAAAAACUUAUUUUUUUUUAAUAUAUUAUCUGCUUCUUUAUUUUUCAAUAGUCUUAUAUGAAUAAAAGAAAAAACCUUGUUCUUUUAGUAAUCUGAUCUCUAAUGGAAUUGCCAAUAGGAUUCCAACCCAGAUGAAGUUCCAACCAUUUGACAGGGAAAACGAACGAACUGAUUUUGUAGGAUUUCCAAGGAAUUAUCUGACAUCUUCCACCGGCGGAAGUUUGGUUUUAAGUGCAUUCGAUUUGAGCUACAUCAACAAUUUCAGAUCCCAAUGGAGUUCAACUGGGAAUAUUCAUUGCAGGAAAUUACAGCAGAGAGUUGGUUACACUUCACUUUCUCCGAUUAUAACAAUUUUGCCUGAGUCUAGUGACAACAACCAUAUGAUUGAUCUAGCAAAAGUCCAUUAGAUGGCGACCAACUCCUUUGUUGUUUUAGAUACCGAACUUACAAUUUAAAGACUUACUUGUACUCUUCCCCACUGCAAUGUUAUUACCAUACCGCAAGAUUCAAAG